rnacentral:rRNA from 1 species
GACGAACGCUGGCGGCGUGCUUAACACAUGCAAGUCGAACGGAAAGGCCCUGCUUUUGUGGGGUGCUCGAGUGGCGAACGGGUGAGUAACACGUGAGUAACCUGCCCUUGACUUUGGGAUAACUUCAGGAAACUGGGGCUAAUACCGGAUAGGAGCUCCUGCUGCAUGGUGGGGGUUGGAAAGUUUCGGCGGUUGGGGAUGGACUAGCGGCUUAUCAGCUUGUUGGUGGGGUAGUGGCUUACCAAGGCUUUGACGGGUAGCCGGCCUGAGAGGGUGACCGGCCACAUUGGGACUGCGAUACGGCCCAGACUCCUACGGGAGGCAGCAGUGGGGAAUAUUGCACAAUGGGCGGAAGCCUGAUGCAGCAACGCCGCGUGCGGGAUGACGGCCUUCGGGUUGUAAACCGCUGUCGCCUGUGACGAAGCGUGAGUGACGGUAAUGGGUAAAGAAGCACCGGCUAACUACGUG